GGUGAGGACGUUGUCCCUGUUUUGCAGAUGGGGACAUUUUUACCCAGAGAUAUUGUAGUUUACCCAAAAUCAGCACAGAUGAGGAGGCUCUGCAGUCUUGUGCUCCUCACCCAAAUUCACCGAGUGGGUGUGAGGAGGGUGCUGUGGCUAGCUUGUGCUCCGGCACAGGAUUCAGAAAUUGGAAGAAGAGGCGAGUGGCAGCAGGCAGUGGGCAGUUGGCAGACCCAAAUUGGAACUCAGGUCCUUCUAGCUCCCAUUGACCACUUUUGUGAACAAAUGAGAAAAAGGAACAGGACUCUGGAACAGCUGCAGCGAAUCCCGUAGAGGAUGUUAGAGAAGACAAAAAGGCCUGGGUAAAGGGACUGUGAGAAAGGUGCACAUCUGACAGUCCUGUAAACAGGACUUGGGACAUGAUUGCUGUAGCUGGCUGCACACAGCAGGCUUUGGGACUGCUGUUCCGUCCCAGCCCUUUUCUUUAUGGCCUUAAGGAGCAACAAGCAAAUAACAAGAUAAAUAUAACCUUAAUGUAUAUCGCUAAAUGGACUUGUUUAGAACAAUGCACUUGCUGUACAAUGCCAAGGGUUUUAUCUACAUGUUCUUUACUGUGAACACGUUUGCCUUUCCCCACAAUCAACAUGGAGAUUUGGAGAGGCUUGAGAGCUCUUUGAAAGGAAAAGAGUCAAAGAGCCUCUCCUCCUCCUUCAGCCUGAGACUGUGGUCUGGAGCAUUCUUCGUUGCGCUGUGACGCUGGGAGAGACGCUGGACAAUCUCUACAAGUUCCUGGCCAGAAAGGAGAAGGGCAGGAACAAAGGGUCCGACUAGGAGCCUUUCCCUGUGCCCUGCGGUCUAUCAGCAUUGAUUAGGCAUCUUCUUCCCUCUACCGGGCUGUACCCAAGAUGCCCCCAUUCCUUCCCUGCCUUACCCUCUCCUCAGAGGGCUUGCCCAGGCUCCUCCUCCAAGUCUGUGCCCCUCAACGGCUCCUGUCGAUUGCACCUGGCCCAGCUGAUCCACCAUAUUUCCCCAGCCCCCGGCUGGGCCUCAGGCCUUCAGCCCGCUGUGGGCGUUGGACUAGGAAGAGUUUGAAGCCAGUGGGAUCCAUGUUUGGGCCUAAAGUAGAGGAAGCUGAUGAGAAGGAAGAUGCAGACGUGUAGAGAGAGGCUGAGGCAUGAAAGCAGGGAGACCUGGCGAGUCCCCGGGAGCACAGGGAGUGGCCCCUGCCUCCCAAUGAUCAGUGGCACAUCAUGGCUUUGAGUUCAUGAGGGUCACCACACCCUCCCAGAAACCCCCUUCUUCCUUAAGUUUCCUUGAAUUGGCCAAAACAGCUUGUGUUCUUGCAACCAGAUGGCACGGCACCAGGCCAGGCUGUGGAGAGGAGCAGGAUAAAACUCUAAGGAGGCAGGCCCCCAGUGUGGGGCCAGGGGCAGAUGCACCUGGGAAGUGCUUACAGAAUUCAGAGGAGAGGGAAAUCGGCACCAGCUGGGGUGGCCAGGGAAGGCUGCCUGGAGGAGGUGGACAUCAGGUGGACAUCAAAGGGCAGGUAAGAAGAUGGCCCCCCCAGGUGAGGAGGGCCUGGGGAGGCACAGAAGACAAACAGCUGGGGGGGAGGCGUCUGAGAGGUGGGUGGAGGGGAGGUGGAGGGUGAGGUGACAGAGUUGGGAAUUGAGCAUGUGGGAAGUGGGGAGCCAGAGGCUGUUUGUGAGGGGCUGGGGCCACAGCCUGGAGGAGGGGAGCGGAGCGCCUGCAGACUCAGGCAGGAAGCAUGAAGACCCUGUGCAUGGCCACACACAGGGGCGGCUUGCACGCAGAGGGACUGGUGAAACGCCUCCUGCUCAAGUUCUUGCUCCGAGUGUCGCCCCCACAAGUCUGCGGGAGUCACCACACCGCACCUUGCCUACCAGCGCGCCUUCCCGCCUGACUGCGUCAUUCAGCCGCCCUGAGCCUCAGUUUCCUCAUCUGUAAAACAAUGGCAAUAAUAGCGUCCACUUCAGGCGGUGGUUGUGAGGAUUCAACAUUUUAUUUUAUUGAUUUUUGAAUUUUUUAGACAAAGCGGACCCGGCCUGGGACUUAACAGGUGAUCAAUCAACACGCUUCCACUCGGCUCCCCAGGAGGAGGGACGCUUCUCGGGGCUUAAAGCCCGAGCCUGUGACGGUCUGGAAGGGGCAGGGGAGGGGACAGCUCUGCUUGGCGCCGCCAGCUCCGGCCAUUCGGAGUCAACCUGGCACGCACGCGCGCGCGGUGGCGGCUGCGGGGCCCCAGCAGAGCCUAGAGGGUUCCCCGGAGCUCCCGUUGAGAAGUGGAGUUGGACAACGAUGUCCAAUGUCAAAACGGCACAGUGUCGCGUUCCUUUUUUGUUGUCAGUUUAUUUAUUGUGGUGUAAUUUACAUACAACAAGAUUCGCCUUUUUUUUUUUUUGACACAGAGUCUCACUUUGUUGCCCAGGCUAGAGUG